UCGGGUUAGUCGGGCCUUAGCCGAGGCCGGAAGGCGUAGGCGAUGGACAUCCGGUUAAUAUUCCGGAACCGAGACCAGGGAGCGAAGGGGGGACGCAGCGUGGCAGGUCAGCCUCUUAAUGGAUUGAGGUGCCAAGCGGACAGGACGGUGAAGGGGGCAGGGAAAUCCGCCUCUAGAGUCCGAGCCGUGAUGGCGUGCGCAAGCAAGAAGUGACUGGCCCAGGCUGCCGAGAAAAGCCUCUAAGCGAUGAACUGGUUUUGCCCGUACCGCAAACCGACACAGGUAGGUGGGUGGAGAACACCAAGGGGACCGAGAGAACCUUCGUUAAGGAAUUAGGCAAAAUAACUCCGUAACUUCGGGAGAAGGAGUGCCUGAGGCAACUCAGGCCGCAGUGAAAAGGCCCUGUCAACUGUUUAACAAAAACACAGGUCUCUGCUAAGUCGCAAGACGACGUAUAGGGGCUGACGCCUGCCCAGUGCCGGAAGGUUAAGGGGAGAGGUUAGGCGCGCCAAGGUGUGCCGACGCUUUGAACCGAAGCCCCGGUGAACGGCGGCCGUAACUAUAACGGUCCUAAGGUAGCGAAAUUCCUUGUCGGGUAAGUUCCGACCCGCACGAAUGGCGUAAUGAGCGGGGCACUGUCUCAACGAAGGACUCGGCGAAGAUUGAAGUACGUGUAAAGAUGCGCGUUACCCGCAGCAGGACAAAAAGACCCCGUGGAGCUUUACUACAGCUUGACAUUGCGCCCGGGCUGAGUCUGUGUAGGAUAGGUGGGAGGCUGUGAAGCUGGGGCGCCAGCCUCGGCGGAGCCAUUGGUGAAAUACCACCCUGACUCAGUCUUGGCCCUAACCUGGCCGCCUGAAGCGGCGCUGGGGACAGUGUCUGGUGGGUAGUUUGACUGGGGCGGUCGCCUCCGAAAGCGUAACAGAGGCGCCCAAAGGUUCGCUCAGGCUGAAUGGAAACCAGCCGCAGAGUGUAAAGGCAGAAGCGAGCUUGACUGCAAGAGAGACACCUCGAGCAGGCACGAAAGUGGGGCUUAGUGAUCCCACGGCACCGCGUGGAAGGGCCGUGGCUUACCGGAUAAAAGCUACCCCGGGGAUAACAGGCUAGUCAGGUCCAAGAGUUCACAUCGACGACCUGGCUCGGCACCUCGAUGUCGGCUCAUCGCAUCCUGGGGCUGGAUAAGGUCCCAAGGGUUGGGCUGUUCGCCCAUUAAAGCGGUACGUGAGCUGGGUUCAGACCGUCGUGAGACAGGUCGGUCUCUAUCCGCUGUGGGCGCAAGGAGGUUGCGAGGAGCUGCCCCUAGUACGAGAGGACCGGGGUGGACGAAGCGCUGGUGUGCCGGUUGUCACGCCCGUGGCAGUGCCGGGUAGCCACCUUCGGAGCAGAUAACCGCUGAAAGCAUCUAAGCGGGAAGCUGGCCUCAAGAUGAGCCUCCUCACUGGGUAACCAGGUAAGACCGCUCGGAGACGACGAGCUGAAUAGGCCGGGGGUGUACGCCUGGCAACAGGUUGAGCCAACCGGUACUAAUGGUCGAGGGCUUAUCCA
rnacentral:rRNA from 1 species